GUGCUCAGCAUUGUUUUGGAAUAGUUAUUAGUAAACUGCAGUUCCAAAACCUGCAGGCGGCACCCAAGAGCACUAAAUAUGAUUUCUCCAAGCUGUCUGUUUUUAUCGGCCAGAUUCUGAUCUCAGUCACUUUACGAAGCUUUGUUGGCUGAUGUAGAUAUGAAUCUGGUCCUUUAUUUUAGUAAAAUGAGGCUUCGCUGAUUUACAGAUGGAAAAAAAAAAAAAAAUCUGUCACAGCUUCUUUUUCCCUAGAGUUGAUGAGUUCAUUUUGCUGUUCAGCGGUCCAUGGAAGGCUUUUUGGGUGCUGGCUUUAGGAGUGGGUAUGGUAAUAGAGACCUCUCAUAAUGAGCUGGGGAGCUGCGGAGUCUCACCCGCAUUGACAGGAGCAAGAGAAAUGGCUCACGGGCGAGCUGAAGCAAAAUGUGCAGUUACAGGCAUACGAUAGCGAUGCAGCAGCUAAGAUAUCCUGCCAAAAUGCUGUCUAAGUAGCCAUUAAUGGACAUCGGAGUUUUGUUAAAUAAUUAAUGUGUCUGUUGUGUUUUUUUCUUAUAGAUCUUUCAAGGAAUUUAGUUUCUAUUCCUUUGCAUUUAGUUUCUGUUCCCUGAAUUGCUGCCUUUGAUCCUGUCUUCUCGGGCAUUUAUAGACACUGGCUCUAAGGCUGUUUUCUAACAGGAGCUCGUGUCUGUUAUGGCCAGGAACCAUUUAGCCCCAGUUUGUAAGGAGGAUACUUUGUUCUCAUGGUGUAGUUAGGAAACUGAGGCAUAGCCACUGAAGUGGAUUUGCCACUGGUCUGUAAAAUAGGCAAGUCUUGUCCUGUGAACAGCACAAAGAAAAACUUUAACAGAGCUUUAAAAACUACUGAACGAGCUGUCUGAAUCCAGAAGGCCUUGGUAAUCCUCUUUUGUCGAUCUCUGCUUGUGAGAAAUGCCUGUUCUGAUAUCGUCCAUACCAAAAACACCGGCAGGUUUCACUGGUUUUCAAUCUCACUUUGCAAAAUCAUGCAAAGCAGAAAUCUCAGAUAACCGAUGGGGUGUGGAAGUGCUGAUGUGUCCUGGAUAACUGGACUCAUCAGUUUCCCUGCCCUGAUAAUUCAUCAGAAGGAACCAGAACUCCUUAUCUUCAGGUCCCCAGUACAUACUAUUCGCCGGACAACUUCUCCCAUCCCAACCAUCUCUGGUGGUUUCCUACCCUGCCAGAAGUCAAUCAAUCUGUCAUUGAACAUGGAGCUGUGAAAGGAAGAUGCGAUACUACGCUGAAUGC